GAUGAACGCUGGCGGCGUGCCUAAUACAUGCAAGUCGAGCGAACAGACGAGGAGCUUGCUCCUCUGACGUUAGCGGCGGACGGGUGAGUAACACGUGGAUAACCUACCUAUAAGACUGGGAUAACUUCGGGAAACCGGAGCUAAUACCGGAUAAUAUAUUGAACCGCAUGGUUCAAUAGUGAAAGACGGUUUUGCUGUCACUUAUAGAUGGAUCCGCGCCGCAUUAGCUAGUUGGUAAGGUAACGGCUUACCAAGGCAACGAUGCGUAGCCGACCUGAGAGGGUGGUCGGCCACACUGGAACUGAGACACGGUCCAGACUCCUACGGGAGGCAGCAGUAGGGAAUCUUCCGCAAUGGGCGAAAGCCUGACGGAGCAACGCCGCGUGAGUGAUGAAGGUCUUCGGAUCGUAAAACUCUGUUAUUAGGGAAGAACAAAUGUGUAAGUAACUAUGCACGUCUUGACGGUACCUAAUCAGAAAGGCACGGCUAACUACGUG
rnacentral:rRNA from 1 species